rnacentral:pre_miRNA from 1 species
UGAUGAUGAUGACGAUGAUGAUGAUGACGACGAUGAUGAUGGUCAUCAUCAUCGUCGUCAUCAUCAUCACCAUACUUA